UACGUAGGGUGCAAGCGUUGUCCGGAAUUAUUGGGCGUAAAGAGCUCGUAGGCGGUCUGUCGCGUCGGCUGUGAAAUCCCGGAGCUCAACUCCAGGUCUGCAGUCGAUACGGGCAAACUGGAGUACUGCAGGGGAGACUGGAAUUCCUGGUGUAGCGGUGAAAUGCGCAGAUAUCAGGAGGAACACCGGUGGCGAAGGCGGGUCUCUGGGCAGUAACUGACGCUGAGGAGCGAAAGCGUGGGGAGCGAACAGG
rnacentral:rRNA from 1 species